rnacentral:rRNA from 1 species
CGAGUGGCGAACGGGUGAGUAAUACAUCGGAACGUGCCCGAUCGUGGGGGAUAACGCAGCGAAAGCUGUGCUAAUACCGCAUACGAUCUACGGAUGAAAGCAGGGGACCCGCAAGGGCCUUGCGCGGACGGAGCGGCCGAUGGCAGAUUAGGUAGUUGGUGGGAUAAAAGCUUACCAAGCCGACGAUCUGUAGCUGGUCUGAGAGGACGACCAGCCACACUGGGACUGAGACACGGCCCAGACUCCUACGGGAGGCAGCAGUGGGGAAUUUUGGACAAUGGGCGAAAGCCUGAUCCAGCCAUGCCGCGUGCAGGAUGAAGGCCUUCGGGUUGUAAACUGCUUUUGUACGGAACGAAAAGGUCUUCUCUAAUAAAGAGGGCCCAUGACGGUACCGUAAGAAUAAGCACCGGCUAACUACGUGCCAGCAGCCGCGGUAAUACGUAGGGUGCAAGCGUUAAUCGGAAUUACUGGGCGUAAAGCGUGCGCAGGCGGUUAUAUAAGACAGAUGUGAAAUCCCCGGGCUCAACCUGGGAACUGCAUUAGUGACUGUAUAGCUGGAGUGCGGCAGAGGGGGAUGGAAUUCCGCGUGUAGCAGUGAAAUGCGUAGAUAUGCGGAGGAACACCGAUGGCGAAGGCAAUCCCCUGGGCCUGCACUGACGCUCAUGCACGAAAGCGUGGGGAGCAAACAGGAUUAGAUACCC